AAACCGAUUUUAUCGAUUAAUUCGAGUGUGUAGCUCACGUCGACUUGUUCAAAUGAAAAUCGGUUUUCUCUUCAACAUCCGCAAACACUUCCCUCUCAGCUCCCGUAGUUUGGAAUGGGCUCAGCCCUCCCCCCGCACAGAGCGCGCAUUUACCAAAGUGAUACACAAACAUGGCAGCGAGUUUGACAAGUUGUAUACCACAAUUUAUUCAUACAUGUAUAAUCUAUUUUGAGGUAAACAUAAUUCAUUUGAAAUAUAUCUGUGUGGUUUAAUAAUUCGUCGAUCUGUUGGUAAUUCGUCGAUCUUUUGGUAAUGCCUCGGGGCUCCAGUAGGGGGAUCGCGCUCCUCUUCCUCAUUCAAUACAGACGAGUGAAGGAAAGAGCUGCGUGCGUGUUUUUCCUCAUUCUUCUCCCGUUACUAUUCCCUUUCUUAAGGUAAUUAUUACCGUUUGCAAAACACUGUAUAUUUAUCACCAGUGUUGAAAGUUUGAAUGUUAUGUUGGCACUUUAUCAGAAGUCCUCUUAUCAUUAGAAAUAUUUUAUGUUUACAGAAAUAUUUUAUUUUAUAUUUUAUAUAUUUUAUGUUAUGUUACAGGUUACACUGUUUACAAUGGCAGGGCCUGCCAUAAUGCUUUUUUAUGUAAAUCGAUUUAAAUCGGAAAUCGGAUUUUUUAUGAAAAAAUCGGGGAUUAUUAUUUUAGGCCAUAUCGCCCAGCCCUAACACACACACACACACACACACACACACACACACACACACACACACACACACACACACACACACACACACACACACACACACACACACACACACACACACACACACACACACACACACACACACACACACACACACACACACACACACAGUUGGAGGUUUGGGUUGUCCCAGAAGGAAGCAGCCGGUCUGGUCCUCCUCCUGGUCUGGUCCUCCUCCUGGUCUGGUACUCCUCCUAGUCUGGUCCUCCUCCUGCUCUAGUCCUCCUCCUGGUCUGGUCCUCCUCCUGGUCCGGUCCUCCUCCUGGUCUUCUUCCUGGUUUAGUCCUCCUCCUGGUCUGGUCCUACUCCUGGUCCUCCUCCUGGUCUGAUCCUCCUCCUGGUCUGGUCCUCCUCCUGGUCUGGUCCUCCUCCUGGUCCUCCUCCUGGUCUAGUCCUACUCCUGGUCUGGUCCUCCCCCUGGUCCGGUCCUCCUCCUGGUCUGGUCCUCCUCCUGGUCCGGUCCUCCUCCUGGUCCUCCUCCUGGUCUAGUCCUCCUCCUGGUCUGGUCCGCCUCCUGGUCUGGUCCUCCUCCUGGUCUGGUCCUCCUCCUGGGCAUCGAACCCUUCUGUCCCCAUCCCUCAUGGGGUCACAUCCCAGACUCCAGCUUGGUGUUCAGUGACUGACGUCACCGCUCUGUUAGCGCUCACCAGCCUCUGAACCCGAGCGCCAGGCACGUGGGGGGGGCUGUGGGUGCCUCAGCACCUGCCCCUUUGCCUCUGAUCGUCCAAAGUGCCCUUUUGAGUGGCCAUUUAAAAUAUCAAUUAUUCGUAAAAUUACACAUGAACUUUUAAAAAUGAACGUGUGAAUCAAUUAUUCGAGAAUAAAAAAAUUCUAAAAGUAAUAGUAUAGAAGUAAAGUUGGAAGCGUCGUCUACCUGCGCUGCCGGUAGGUGACGUCAUAGGCUAUCAACGUGACCUUUCACAUUUGCCUGCCUGCAAGAUGCGCAUCGUAUUGUUGUUGUUUUAAGAGAGGGUGAAAAACAGGGUAUGAUCACUACAGACAGUCUGUCUCCAAAACCAUUUAGCUGAUGUUGAAAAAUAAAUGAACAUUUAUCUAAUUUUGUAGCGGGUAAAAGUUAGCAGCAAGGUUUGAUAUUCGCCGGAUAUUCGGUUUUGUCAUACCCUUCAAUCAGAUUCAUCAACACAAUUUCACUACAUUACGGGUUUAGUAUGUUGAGGACAGUUUAGGAUACCGUAUUGACAAAAAUCACAACGACAUUAGUUGUUGCCAUCGAUAUCUGUGCGAGAACAGCACUUUAAUCUGCGUUCCGGCUGCUAUCUAUCUCAGGGACCGUCUACAAAUUACACCCCCCUGACUGGUGGCGUAGACUUUACCAUGGAAUUGUUUCAGGAAAGAAAUCACUAGAAAUAAAUAACAAUACAUUGAUUGCUGUAGUACUUGCCAAUGGUGAGCUGCUACUUACUACAGGUAAAACUUUGCUGAUAUCUCGCAUUAUAGUGAAACAGGAUGCAAUUAAUAGUUUAAAAUAUUCACCAAAAUUCAAUAAAAAUACAUUUUCUCAUUCUGAUUGCUUUAGUAGUUGUUAAUGGUGGGCUGUAAAUAACAGCUGUCAUUUACUACAAGUGAUUCUUUGCUGAUAUUUUGCAUUAUAGCGAAUCAGUAGGCAAUAGUUUAACAUAUUCACCAAAAAUCAUUACAAAUAAAGUACAUUUUCUCGUUGUGAUUGCUUGUUGUUAGCACACAUUUUUUAUUUCAAUCACAUAGUAUGAUGUCAGAUUGUUGCAUUGAUAUAGCCCUUUCUAUAGUAUUAGUACUGUAUGUAAAUUACAUUUUGGUUGCAACGGUUGCAUUUUUUAUUCAUGUGAAUAGAGUCUGAUGUAAAACCCCAUGUUUCAUUUUUAGUUGUAAAUAUAGUUUAAAUUGUGGAUUUAGUAGUAUGUAAAAUCUCCCAUUGUCUGUCGGGAUGUAGUAUGGAUACUACUAUGUAAGAUUGUAUGAACGAUUACAAAAUACAUUUUGUUUGAACAACGGUAAUUCAUUAUUAUAAAUAAAGAUGAAACAUAUUGUUAACCAA